rnacentral:rRNA from 1 species
AUUGAACGCUGGCGGCAUGCCUUACACAUGCAAGUCGAACGGUAACAGGUCUUCGGAUGCUGACGAGUGGCGAACGGGUGAGUAAUACAUCGGAACGUGCCUAGUAGUGGGGGAUAACUACUCGAAAGAGUGGCUAAUACCGCAUGAGAUCUACGGAUGAAAGCAGGGGAUCGCAAGACCUUGUGCUACAAGAGCGGCCGGUGGCAGAUUAGGUAGUGGGUGGGAUAAAAGCUUACCAAGCCGACGAUCUGUAGCUGGUCUGAGAGGACGAUCAGCCACACUGGGACUGAGAAACGGCCCAGACUCCUACGGGAGGCAGCAGUGGGGAAUUUUGGACAAUGGGCGCAAGCCUGAUCCAGCAAUGCCGCGUGCAGGAUGAAGGCCUUCGGGUUGUAAACUGCUUUUGUACGGAACGAAAAGCCCCGGGUUAAUACCCUGGGGUCAUGACGGUACCGUAAGAAUAAGCACCGGCUAACUACGUGCCAGCCGCCGCAGUAA